GGGGAAUAUUGGACAAUGGGCGAAAGCCUGGUCCAGCAAUGCCGCGUGAGUGAUGAAGGCCUUAGGGUUGUAAAGCUCUUUUACCCGGGAUGAUAAUGACAGUACCGGGAGAAUAAGCCCCGGCUAACUCCGUGCCAGCAGCCGCGGUAAUACGGAGGGGGCUAGCGUUGUUCGGAAUUACUGGGCGUAAAGCGCACGUAGGCGGCUUUGUAAGUUAGAGGUGAAAGCCCGGAGCUCAACUCCGGAAUUGCCUUUAAGACUGCAUCGCUCGAAUCAUGGAGAGGUGAGUGGAAUUCCGAGUGUAGAGGUGAAAUUCGUAGAUAUUCGGAAGGAACACCAAAGGCGAAGGCGGCUCACUGGACUGGUAUUGACGCUGAGGUGCGAAAGCGUGGGGAGCAAA
rnacentral:rRNA from 1 species